rnacentral:rRNA from 1 species
AGUGAACGCUGGCGGUAGGCCUAACACAUGCCAGUCGAACGGCAGCGCAGUAAGAGCUUGCUCUUACGGGUGGCGAGUGGCGGACGAGUGAGGAAUACAUCGGAAUCUACUUUUUCGUGGGGGAUAACGUAGGGAAACUUACGCUAAUACCGCAUACGACCUACGGGUGAAAGCAGGGGAUCUUCGGACCUUGCGCGAUUGAAUGAGCCGAUGUCGGAUUAGCUAGUUGGCGGGGUAAAGGCCCACCAAGGCGACGAUCCGUAGCUGGUCUGAGAGGAUGAUCAGCCACACUGGAACUGAGACACGGUCCAGACUCCUACGGGAGGCAGCAGUGGGGAAUAUCGGACAAUGGGCGCAAGCCUGAUCCAGCCAUACCGCGUGGGUGAAGAAGGCCUUCGGGUUGUAAAGCCCUUUUGUUGGGAAAGAAAAGCAGCAGGUUAAUACCCCGCUGUUCUGACGGUACCCAAAGAAUAAGCACCGGCUAACUUCGUG